UACGAAGGGGGCUAGCGUUGUUCGGAAUUACUGGGCGUAAAGCGCACGUAGGCGGAUAUUUAAGUCAGGGGUGAAAUCCCGGGGCUCAACCCCGGAAUAGCCUUUGAGACUGGAUUGCUUGAAUCUUGGAGAGGUGAGUGGAAUUCCGAGUGUAGAGGUGAAAUUCGUAGAUAUUCGGAAGAACACCAGUGGCGAAGGCGGCUCACUGGACAAGUAUUGACGCUGAGGUGCGAAAGCGUGGGGAGCAAACAGG
rnacentral:rRNA from 1 species